rnacentral:rRNA from 1 species
AUUGAACGCUGGCGGCAUGCCUUACACAUGCAAGUCGAACGGUAACAGGUCUUUCGGGAUGCUGACGAGUGGCGAACGGGUGAGUAAUACAUCGGAACGUGCCUAGUAGUGGGGGAUAACUACUCGAAAGAGUGGCUAAUACCGCAUGAGAUCGGUGGAUGAAAGCAGGGGACCUUCGGGCCUUGUGCUACUAGAGCGGCCGAUGGCAGAUUAGGUAGUUGGUGGGAUAAAAGCUUACCAAGCCUACGAUCUGUAGCUGGUCUGAGAGGACGAUCAGCCACACUGGGACUGAGACACGGCCCAGACUCCUACGGGAGGCAGCAGUGGGGAAUCUUGGACAAUGGGCGCAAGCCUGAUCCAGCAAUGCCGCGUGCAGGAUGAAGGCCUUCGGGUUGUAAACUGCUUUUGUACGGAACGAAAAGUCUUGGGUUAAUACCCUGGGAUCAUGACGGUACCGUAAGAAUAAGCACCGGCUAACUACGUGCCAGCAGCCGCGGUAAUAC